rnacentral:tRNA from 1 species
GGCCAUGGCUCAGUGGCUGAACAUCUGUUUGGCACGCAGAAGGUCCCAAGUUCAGUUCUCGGAAUCUCCC